GAUGAAGAACGUAGCGAAAUGCGAUACUUGGUGUGAAUUGCAGAAUCCCGUGAACCAUCGAGUCUUUGAACGCAAGUUGCGCCCGAAGCCAUUAGGCCGAGGGCACGCCUGCCUGGGCGUCACACGUCGUUGCCCCCCCAUCUACUCCUUCGGGAUUGCGGGGGGCGGAUGAUGGCCUCCCGUGCGCCUCGCCGCGCGGUUGGCAUAAAUGCCAAGUCCUCGGCGACGCACGCCACGACAAUCGGUGGUUGCGAAACCUCGGUUGCCCGUCGUGUGCGGUCGUCGCGCAUCGAGGGCUCGAAAAAAUUGUCGGGCUCCGGCUCGGCUUUCAACGCGACCCCAGGUCAGGCGGGGUUACCCGCUGAAUUUAAGCAUAUCAAUAAGCGGAGGA
rnacentral:misc_RNA from 1 species